rnacentral:tRNA from 1 species
ACUAUUUUGGGCAGAUAAAUGUAAUGGUUUUAGGAAUCAUUUAUAUAUAGAUAAAUUAUAUAGAUAGUGAA